CAGUGGACGGUACAGAUGUGGAGUGAAGAGGGAAGGAGGUUUCCUCAGAUAUAAAAGAGUUCAGCUCAAAGUCAAAGGGAGAGUUCAGGUCCAGGAUCAGAGGACAUCAGGAACAGAAGCAGAUGGCUGAUCAAUCAGUCUGAUCUUUGAUUAUUGAUCCAAUCUGACUUUGGAUCAGAGAGAAAGUAUCAGUGAAGGAUCUGAUGGACGAUGGAUGAAGAGAGGACUUGUUCCAGCCUGCAGACGUAGUAUUGAUCAGUAGUGAUCAGUGAUGUCAGAGUGGAGUCAGUGUGAUG